rnacentral:rRNA from 1 species
AAUAGAUACCCUGGUAGUCCACGCCGUAAACGAUGAGUGCUAAGUGUUAGAGGGUUUCCGCCCUUUAGUGCUGCAGCUAACGCACUAAGCACUCCGCCUGGGGGAGUACGGUCGCAAGACUGAAACUCAAAGGGAAUUGACGGGGGCCCGCACAAGCGGUGGAGCAUGUGGUUUAAUUCGAAGCAACGCGAAGAACCUUACCAGGUCUUGACAUCCUCUGACAACUCUAGAGAUAGAGCGUUCCCCUUCGGGGGACAGAGUGACAGGUGGUGCAUGGUUGUCGUCAGCUCGUGUCGUGAGAUGUUGGGUUAAGUCCCGCAACGAGCGCAACCCUUGAUCUUAGUUGCCAGCAUUUAGUUGGGCACUCUAAGGUGACUGCCGGUGACAAACCGGAGGAAGGUGGGGAUGACGUCAAAUCAUCAUGCCCUUAUGACCUGGGCUACACACGUGCUACAAUGGAUGGUACAAAGGGCUGCAAGACCGCGAGGUCAAGCCAAUCCCAUAAAACCAUUCUCAGUUCGGAUUGAGGU